UGACAGUUACAAUUUCGAGAAAGUAGAGAAUUUCGUUUAUAAUUAUCACGUUCUUAAUUUCGUUGGAUUAGAUGUCAAAUGGCACGUCUACUGAAUUCAUGCUAGUUAUUGCAUAAAACAGACUACAAGCCAUUUAAAAACCUAAUUCUAAUCCAUACGCAUGUAUAUCGCACAGGUAACGUAACAGUCUUUUUCUGUAUCGUAAAAGUCCGAGCAUCUUUUGCAAAUAUUGACUUCAAAAUUAGGGUGCAUUCCAAAACGUCAAAAUACAAAGCAUCAGUAUCUUUUAUUUCUAAACCUCAUUCGAUUGUGAUGCCAAAUGACGCUAACUUUCAACUAGGUUGCGCAAGUUGGACUUUUUCUCCUAGUGCGGUUUAGAAAUAAAAGAGACUGAUGCUUUGUAUUUUGACGUUUUGGAAUGCAGCCUUAAUUUGAUCAGUUCAAUAAAUUCGUAGUUCUUGAGUUAUAUAAGCAGAGCAGACUUUUUAGAUAAUAUAAAGCAGCGUUAAAAAGUACUUCCAAAAAUUGUAAUGUAACAGUCCGCCGUUGAAAAAUUUAUAACUCCUAAACAACAGGAGGUACAAUAUAUUUUACGUAUAUAUUAAAUAUUGUCACAUACUUAUGCUUUCAGAUGUAAGAAGAAAAAAUAGCAGAAUGUUGUAUUCUAGCAAGUUUCAGCGGAAUUUGGAUAGCACUUUGAGCCAAAACGUAUUGUAAUAGUACGCGUUUUGGGCCAUAUCAUCAUUUUCUUUAAUUUAUAGAGUCAGAAACAAUCAGCGCAAAUCAAAAUAUAUUUAUAAUAAAAGCCUAAUAACUAAGAAGCAAUUACAUUGUAAAAAUAUAAUAACAAGUUAUGGUUUUGAUAUUUCUGGACAUAAGCAAUUACAUAUGUAUUGAAAAAGGCACUUUACAGAUGCAAAUACAUAUCGUGUAAGAACACCUUAAGUAACUAAUGCGGCUGUCACGAUUUGCGAACAGGGCUGCCAGAACUUUUCAGGCUAUGUAUUUCGCAUAAGUUACUUUCAUUCCUAAUUGUUGUAUCUUCUUAUUAUUUGUCGCUUUAACCGUCUAUGCGAUUUUGGCCGAGUUCAGCAAAGCGCGCCAGCGUUUCUCUUUUGUGCCAACUAAACGCCAAUUGGAAAUGCCAAGUGAAACCAAGUCCAUCUCCACUUGGUAUUUCCAUCGGGUUCCGAGUUGAAUACUUUCAUAGUUGCAGCGUCGGAGUCCAUUCGAAAGACAUAGCGAAGCAAGCGAAACCGCUGUAUAACUUUCUUAUUAUAAAGACGUGACGUCUUGGUGGAACAGUUCUACUCGACGGCGGAUAAGAAUUCGAAAAACGUGUUAUGAUCGGCGAUGAUUUUCAUAGAAAUGUCAUAUCGAACUAGUAACAUCCGGAAUAUAAAAUGCUGGCAGCGUAUAAACAAAUUGCCAGCGGACAUGGCAAAAGAUCUUUCGACGGAAUUGGAGCUCUGGUCAAACAUUAUGCGACUAACCACAACUUGCAAAAAUCACAUAUGGAAGGAAUACAUAAUACAGACGCAUUUGUAUCAGUUGUACAAAAUUAUACCAACGUGAUUAUUCUUUUAUACGCUCGAAAAAGAGAAGUGGAACCUUUCAGGGAAAAAAUACUAAUGAGAUCAAAAAACAGAAUAUAUAUAUGUAUAUGGAUAAUAUGUGACGCUGCAUUACUUAAAAUACUGACACUUCUUAUUUAAAAAAAAAAUUCUUACGACUUUCGAGACGUUUUAGCGUCAAACCUAUUGGAAAAAAUUAUGCUUUUUAUGUAGGUAGUAA